AAAAAAGAAGGUAAGGCUGGUGGAUAUUCCAAUAGGAAGAGCUCACGAUAUGGUGUUAAUUGUUUACACCCACAAUUCGGUGAACAAAUAAAUUAAAUCCGUAAUUUCUGCUUAAUUAAAGAGAAUGAACAAAUUAAUUCAAUGUCUAAUGUGCAGAACCUAAACAAAAAACAAAUGACAAGUUUAGAAUCAAAGUUAAGCAAAGGUAAUGUUAAUCUGCUCACCAAUUUGUGUUAGCCGUAGUUUGAUUCUUUGCAGGGAAUGUAGUGCUCUUCUGUACUAGAGGUUUCUUGAGUGAUCACAA
rnacentral:misc_RNA from 1 species